GACAGCAGCCGCCGCGGUAAUACAGAGGGUGCGAGCGUUAAUCGGAUUUACUGGGCGUAAAGCGUGCGUAGGCGGCUUUUUAAGUCGGAUGUGAAAUCCCUGAGCUUAACUUAGGAAUUGCAUUCGAUACUGGGAAGCUAGAGUAUGUGAGAGGAUGGUAGAAUUCCAGGUGUAGCGGUGAAAUGCGUAGAGAUCUGGAGGAAUACCGAUGGCGAAGGCAGCCAUCUGGCCUAAUACUGACGCUGAGGUACGAAAGCAUGGGGAGCAAACAGGAUUAGAUACCCCCGUAGUCCCUGUCUCUUAUAC
rnacentral:rRNA from 1 species